AUGGACUGGACCUGGAGAAUUCUCUUCCUGGUGUCAGUGGCUGCAGGUGUGAAUUCCCAGGUACAGCUGGUGCAGUCAGGGGCUGAGGUGGCAAAACCUGGGACAUCAGUAAAGAUCUCCUGCAAGGCGUCUGGAUACACGUUCAUCGACCACCAUAUGCACUGGGUGCAGCAGGCCCCGGGACAAGGGCUCGAGUGGAUGGGAUUGAUACACCCUGGAAAUAGUGGCACAAACUACGCACAGAAGUUCAAGGGAAGAGUCACCAUCACUGCAGACAAGUCCAAGAACACAGCCUACAUGGAACUGAGCAGGCUGAGCACGGAGGACACAGCCAUGUAUUACUGUAUUAGUUACACAGUGUAA